rnacentral:rRNA from 1 species
AGAGUUUGAUCCUGGCUCAGGAUGAACGCUAGCGACAGGCUUAACACAUGCAAGUCGAGGGGCAGCAGGGGAGUAGCAAUACUCCCGCUGGCGACCGGCGCACGGGUGAGUAACACGUAUGCAACCUGCCCUUGUCAGGGGGAUAAGCGGAAGAAAUUCCGUCUAAUACCGCAUAACGCUGCGGGGAGACAUCUCCCUGCAGCCAAAGAUUUAUCGGACAAGGAUGGGCAUGCGGCGCAUUAGCUUGUUGGCGGGGUAACGGCCCACCAAGGCGACGAUGCGUAGGGGUUCUGAGAGGAAGGUCCCCCACACUGGUACUGAGACACGGACCAGACUCCUACGGGAGGCAGCAGUGAGGAAUAUUGGUCAAUGGCCGGGAGGCUGAACCAGCCAAGUCGCGUGAGGGAAGACGGUCCUAUGGAUUGUAAACCUCUUUUGUCAGGGAGCAAAAACUGCCACGCGUGGCAGGAUGAGAGUACCUGAAGAAAAAGCAUCGGCUAACUCCGUGCCAGCAGCCGCGGUAAUACGGAGGAUGCGAGCGUUAUCCGGAUUUAUUGGGUUUAAAGGGUGCGUAGGCGGACAGUUAAGUCAGCGGUAAAAUUGAGAGGCUCAACCUCUUCCCGCCGUUGAAACUGAUUGUCUUGAGUGGGCGAGAAGUAUGCGGAAUGCGUGGUGUAGGUGAAAUGCAUAGAUAUCACGCAGAACUCCGAUUGCGAAGGCAGCAUACCGGCCCAACUGACGCUGAAGCACGAAAGCGUGGGUAUCGAACAGGAUUAGAUACCCUGGUAGUCCACGCAGUAAACGAUGAAUACUAAUUGUUCGGGUCGAGUGAGAUCUGAGUGAUACAGCGAAAGCGUUAAGUAUUCCACCUGGGGAGUACGCCGGCAACGGUGAAACUCAAAGGAAUUGACGGGGGCCCGCACAAGCGGAGGAACAUGUGGUUUAAAUUCGAUGAUACGCGAGGAACCUUACCCGGGCUCAAACGACACAGGAAUGAUCUGAGAAAUCAGGCAGUCCUUCGGGACCUGUGUCGAGGUGCUGCAUGGUUGUCGUCAGCUCGUGCCGUGAGGUGUCGGCUUAAGUGCCAUAACGAGCGCAACCCCCAUCGACAGUUGCCAGCAGGUCAAGCUGGGCACUCUGUCGAGACUGCCGGCGCAAGCUGUGAGGAAGGCGGGGAUGACGUCAAAUCAGCACGGCCCUUACGUCCGGGGCGACACACGUGUUACAAUGGCAGGUACAGCGGGAAGCCACCUGGCGACAGGGAGCGGAACCCGAAAGCCUGUCUCAGUUCGGAUUGGAGUCUGCAACUCGACUCCAUGAAGCUGGAUUCGCUAGUAAUCGCGCAUCAGCCACGGCGCGGUGAAUACGUUCCCGGGCCUUGUACACACCGCCCGUCAAGCCAUGGAAGUCGGGAGUGCCUGAAGUGCGCCCAACCAGCGCCCUAAGGUAAAACUGAUGACUGGGGCUAAGUCGUAACAAGGUAGCCGU